rnacentral:lncRNA from 1 species
AAAACAUUUGUUACAGAAAUUUCAGAAAGUUUUUCCCGUGGUAUCUGCCAACUUCUGCUUCGAAUUAUAUAUCUAAACAAACAAGCUCAAAGUGCAUUGUGAAUCCAAUAAUAGACCUUUAAAAAAGAAAACUUCCUCUAAUUAUUUAUAGGAAUUCAUUUAAAAAUGAUACUUGAAUAACUUUCCCCAUUAUAAACUAUGG